UUCUCAGGCUACAUCACCGUCCAUCCAGGUAGGGCUCUGUUCUACUGGUUUUUUGAAGCUCAAUCUCAACCAUCCAAGAGGCCUCUCCUUCUCUGGCUUAAUGGAGGUCCUGGUAGUUCAUCAAUAGGAUAUGGUGAUGCUGUUGAAUUGGUCCUUCUUCGUGU